AGCGAACGCUGGCGGCAGGCUUAACACUUGCAAGUCGAGCGGGCCCUUCGGGGUCAGCGGCAGACGGGUGAGUAACGCGUGGGAACGUGCCCUUCGGUUCGGAAUAACUCAGGGAAACUUGAGCUAAUACCGGAUACGCCCUUAUGGGGAAAGGCUUGCUGCCGAAGGAUCGGCCCGCGUCUGAUUAGCUAGUUGGUGAGGUUAUGGCUCACCAAGGCGACGAUCAGUAGCUGGUCUGAGAGGAUGAUCAGCCACACUGGGACUGAGACACGGCCCAGACUCCUACGGGAGGCAGCAGUGGGGAAUAUUGGACAAUGGGGGCAACCCUGAUCCAGCCAUGCCGCGUGAGUGAUGACGGCCUUAGGGUUGUAAAGCUCUUUUCUCCGGGACGAUAAUGACGGUACCGGAGGAAUAAGCCCCGGCUAACUUCGUG
rnacentral:rRNA from 1 species